UAUGUUUCUCAUUGGGUCUUUUAU
rnacentral:snRNA from 1 species